rnacentral:rRNA from 1 species
AGCAGCCGCGGUAAUCCAGCUCCAAUAGCGUAUAUUAAAGUUGUUGCAGUUAAAAAGCUCGUAGUUGAACUUCAGACCUGGCUGGGCGGUCUGCCUAACGGUAUGUACUGUCCGGCUGGGUCUUACCUCUUGGUGAGCCGGCAUGCCCUUCACUGGGUGUGUCGGGGAACCAGGACUUUUACCUUGAGAAAAUUAGAGUGUUCAAAGCAGGCUUAUGCCCGAAUACAUUAGCAUGGAAUAAUAAAAUAGGACGUGCGGUUCUAUUUUGUUGGUUUCUAGAGUCGCCGUAAUGAUUAAUAGGGAUAGUUGGGGGCAUUAGUAUUCCGUUGCUAGAGGUGAAAUUCUUGGAUUUACGGAAGACUAACUAUUGCGAAAGCAUUUGCCAAGGAUGUUUUCAUUAAUCAAGAACGAAGGUUAGGGGAUCGAAAACGAUCAGAUACCGUUGUAGUCUUAACAGUAAACUAUGCCGACUAGGGAUCGGGCGAACUCAAUUUGAUGUGUCGCUCGGCACCUUACGAGAAA